UCACGCCUGUAAUCUCAGCACUUUGGGAGGCUGUGGUAGGCAGAUCACUUGAGGUCAGGAGUUCAAGACCAGCCUGGCCAACAUGGUGAAAACCCAUCUCUACUAAAAAUACAAAAAUUAGCUGGGCAUGGUGGUGCAUGCCUGUAGUCCCAGCUACUUGGGAGGCUGCGGCAGUAGAAUCGCUUGAACCUGGAAGGCAGAGGUUGCAGUGAGCUGAGAUCUCAUCAUUGUACUCCAGCCUGGGUGACAGAGCGAGACUCCGUGUCAACAAUAAAUAAAAUAAAAUAAGAAUUUAUUUUAGUGUAUUCAUGAAAAUUGAUUUUAUUUACUUUUAGUUAAUGUUUACAGAGACUGGAAAAACUUCUGACUUUAUAUACAUUUUCAUAAACAUUUUUCUUUCAAAUGAACCCUUGAAUCUACACAUUGAGAGCCUUAUGGGUAAAUACUUAAAUAAUGACAACACACUUAUAUAGUAUUUUCUACAUGCCAGGCACUGUUCUAACCCUUCUUACAUAUAUGAGAUCAUUUAAUCAUUAUCACCAUUUUACACAUGAGGACCUUAAGGAACAAUGAAGUUAAAGUAACUUGCUGAAGGUUGCAUUGCUGGUAAUUGAUGGGGCGUGGAACUGAACAGUCUGGCUGCCGAGCCAGUGUUUUUAACCACUGUAUUAUAUUGUUUCAUAUUUAAAUGACUUCAUACCAUGAUAUUGUGACAGUUUAUAAUUGGAACAAGAUUCAUUCUAGGAAGAAUUUAUAUGGAGUAUUUCUAAGAAAAAACUGUGAAAUAGAAAAGUAAGUCAGAAGUGUGUUAAGUGUGUUUAGCAGGUUAUUAGCUUCCUGCUCUAUUAUAAACUGAUACCCACUUAACAAUUUUAGUUAUUUUUUAAAAGUUGUAUAUUUUGUAUAUAACAACUCUGCUGAUGUAGUCAGUAAUUAGUUGUCAGAGUUAUAAUUUCUGUUUGGUUUGUUUUUUUCAUUAAACCAAGAAUCUUAUCCAUUUUAUAUCCCUACUGUUCAGGCACAUAAUUUGUUACAAUUGUUUUUAAAAAAUGCACAGGAGUUGAACUUAAUAUGUGGCUCACAGUGUUUUGCCCAUUAUAGGUACUCAACAAGUGUUUAUUGAGAUAUUGUGUUAAAUAAUAAAUUGAACUAAAGGUACAACCAAGAAUAUAAAUUUUAGUAGGAGAACUUUAUUCUCUUUUAUUAAAAUUUAAACGUAGAAAGUUGUAUGAUCCAAGAUGGGUUAUUAUCUGGGAAGAAUUUAAUAUUCUUAGAACCAUAUUGUUGAAAAUAGCUCUUAGUAAUUCCCACUAGACUGUGGCCUCCUUUGAGGGCAGAGACUAAUUUAUUUAUCAUUAUCUCAGCACCUAGCACAAUACUUGAAACAUAAUAAGUAUUCCGUAGUAUUUGAUAAAUGCAUGAAUAUAUUUAAUAUUAUAUUUGAGAACAUGUGAUAUAUCAUAUACCAUGUAAUAAAUUAAUUUUGUCUGUU
rnacentral:lncRNA from 1 species